rnacentral:snRNA from 1 species
AGCUUUGCGCAGUGGCAGUAUCGUAGCCAAUGAGGUUUAUCCGAGGCGCGAUUAUUGCUAAUAGAGAACGCAGAAAAGGCACGUGAGCUUUCGGGGCCGUCAGCCUGGGACUUUUAGGAACCCAGCCACACACCUAG